rnacentral:lncRNA from 1 species
UAUGCUAAAUCCUCUCGGGGAAGAGGAAGAUAGCUCCAGUUUCACUGCCUAAGUGUCUGUUCCAUUUAAAGGAUAUUAGUAGCCAAAUGAAAAAUGCAUGAAUCAAUCAGCAACAAGGACCUUGAUCUCCAAAUGAGACAAUGCUGAGCUUUGAGAUUUAUGGUCUUGCUUCCAGAAUUCCAUUAUUUGGAGGAACAACAACAAUAACAAUGGGAGAUGACAUCAGAAUAUGCUUUGAGGAGUUUACAGAAUGGCAAUGGAAUGGACUGCACGUGAGUCCACAAUGAAUCUGUAACCUUUGAGAAAAAGGUAACUGUGCUUAUGAGCCUUGAAGAAUUAGAAUGUCUGUACAACUUUGGGAAGAAAAAAAUGUAACUUGGGGGGAAGGCAAACAGUAAAGAUAGGUAGGAUUUACAGCUGUCAGUUUGCAGAAAAUUCUACCUUUUUGAAUGCAUUUGUCUCUUUCAAGUUUUCCUUGAAAGAAAAUGCUAACAGAUAAGAAGUAUCUGAG